AUUGAACGCUGGCGGCAUGCUUUACACAUGCAAGUCGAACGGUAACAGGCCUUCGGGUGCUGACGAGUGGCGAACGGGUGAGUAAUGCAUCGGAACGUGCCCAAUCGUGGGGGAUAACGUAGCGAAAGUUACGCUAAUACCGCAUAAGCCCUGAGGGGGAAAGUGGGGGACCGCAAGGCCUCACGCGAAUGGAGCGGCCGAUGUCAGAUUAGCUAGUUGGUGGGGUAAAGGCCCACCAAGGCGACGAUCUGUAGCGGGUCUGAGAGGAUGAUCCGCCACACUGGGACUAAGACACGGCCCAGACUCCUACGGGAGGCAGCAGUGGGGAAUUUUGGACAAUGGGCGCAAGCCUGAUCCAGCCAUGCCGCGUGCGGGACGAAGGCC
rnacentral:rRNA from 1 species